AACGCGAAGAACCUUACCUGGUCUUGACAUCCACGGAAGUUUUCAGAGAUGAGAAUGUGCCUUCGGGAACCGUGAGACAGGUGCUGCAUGGCUGUCGUCAGCUCGUGUUGUGAAAUGUUGGGUUAAGUCCCGCAACGAGCGCAACCCUUAUCCUUUGUUGCCAGCGGUCCGGCCGGGAACUCAAAGGAGACUGCCAGUGAUAAACUGGAGGAAGGUGGGGAUGACGUCAAGUCAUCAUGGCCCUUACGACCAGGGCUACACACGUGCUACAAUGGCGCAUACAAAGAGAAGCGACCUCGCGAGAGCAAGCGGACCUCAUAAAGUGCGUCGUAGUCCGGAUUGGAGUCUGCAACUCGACUCCAUGAAGUCGGAAUCGCUAGUAAACGUGGAUCAGAAUGCCACGGUGAAUACGUUCCCGGGCCUUGUACACACCG
rnacentral:rRNA from 1 species